UACGUAGGGGGCAAGCGUUGUCCGGAAUCAUUGGGCGUAAAGAGCGUGUAGGCGGCCCGAUAAGUCCGCUGUGAAAGUCCAGGGCUCAACCCUGGGAUGCCGGUGGAUACUGUCAGGCUCGAGUCCGGAAGAGGCGAGUGGAAUUCCUGGUGUAGCGGUGAAAUGCGCAGAUAUCAGGAGGAACACCAAUGGCGAAGGCAGCUCGCUGGGACGUGACUGACGCUGAGACGCGAAAGCGUGGGGAGCAAACAGG
rnacentral:rRNA from 1 species